AUAGCAGUAGCCUUGCAGAUCUUCCAGCAGUGCACAGGCAUCAAUGCAAUCAUGUUCUAUGCUCCUGUCCUAUUCGAUACAGUAGGAUUCGGCAACGAUGCUUCCCUGUAUUCAGCUGUUAUAACAGGUGCUGUCAAUGUUAUUUCUACUGUUGUAUCCAUCUACUCGGUGGACAAAAUAGGCCGUCGAAUGUUGUUAUUGGAGGCUGGGAUCCAAAUGUUUGUCUCUCAAGUGAAUAAUAGCAGUAAUCCUAGGAAUCAACGUUACAGACCACUCUGAUAACCUUCAUCGUGGAUUUGCAGUAUUAGUCGUUAUUAUGGUGUGCACUUUUGUUUCUGCCUUUGCCUGGUCUUGGGGACCUCUUGGAUGGCUAAUCCCCAGUGAGACUUUCCCACUGGAGACCCGCUCAGCUGGUCAGAGUGUGACAGUUUGUAUCAACUUGCUCUUCACUUUUGUUAUAGCACAGGCCUUCCUCUCCAUGCUGUGCCACUUCAAAUAUGGCAUCUUCUUGUUCUUCUCUGGUUGGGUGUUUAUCAUGUCAUUCUUCGUAUUUUUCCUGGUACCAGAGACCAAAAAUAUACCUAUUGAAGAGAUGACAGAGAGAGUGUGGAAGCAGCAUUGGUUCUGGAAGAGAUUUAUGGAUGACAAUGAGGAGGGAGCAUUUGAAAUUAGUGUUCACAAACCACAGAAAAAUGGCCAUGCAAAUGGAUUUGAUCCUGUUACCCAGCUGUAAAUUUGAGAGAGGUUUUAAAGUUAUAACUUACAAGAACAUUAGAAUAUGAGUAACAUAUAACUUUGUAAAUGACAUGUUGUCUAGUUUAAGUUUUUAAAG
rnacentral:misc_RNA from 1 species